AAGUAAAAGUGAUGGUUUCUCUAAACUGCCUGGAUUGAACUGAUAAACAAGUGAACUUGCAUUCACUUUUCAAAUCAGAAAGGCAGCUGGACCCCUGCGGUGCCCCA